UCUUCUUCUGAAUCUUUCCAGCUUUCAAAUGGGGGUCACGAGGGCCAGAACUAGGUGUAGGCAGAAGAGGCGCCUACCUAGAGCACAUCAAUACGGGGGAGCUGAGCAGUCUUAAAGGUUUCUUCAGGUAAAGAACCCCUGGAGCCAUUUACAAUGGAAAGGAAGAUUCUGUGUGAAAGAUGAAAGAAGCUGGAGUCCAGAAAUCCUAAAUGUUGAUACCAGGACAGCACAGAUAAUUGACAAUGGUAAUAUAGGCAGGGCCGAGCCAAGCCAGCCAGCCCCCUCGCACCCCCUGCACACAUGCACAACCACAGGCACGCGCACGCACAAGAGCACAUUGCCGGCAAGAGAGGACAAGGGUCAUGACUAGGGGUAUUUUCUGGAUAACAUGGGAAGAUCUACGAGUGAGAUCUACUUGAGUGGAAACCAAAGUCUUUUGAAGAAUCCACCUGCAUACACAGUUGUUCAGAAGCACGUUAUAACCUCCAGAAAAUCGAAAUCCUUCCCAGCCUGUCGCCAUUUCCCAUUAUAAAGAGGCUAUUACCCAGCAUUCUAUGAGGUGUGUUAUGGUGUCACUUGGGACUGGCUAACUGCAUGGCCAGUUAAUGUUAUUCUGUGUAGUGAAGACCCAUUACAGCAUAUGCAGACAGAUGCAAUAAAUUCAUGAUUGCAUAGAUAUUUCCUUUGAGCACAAUUCCUUGGGAAAAUAUGAAGGGACAGCAGCAGAAUGUCAGGAGCGCCCGUCUCCAGGGGCAUCGCAUCCAAGAUGGUGGUGCCCAUGACCCACGUGGGACAACCAUGGGGCUCGUAUAGGUAAUGGGGAAUGGGCUGGGUUUGUGUUAAUCAGGUGCUUGUUUCAGUGUAACAAGCUUGUUUGUCGAUCAGUGGCAAGUUUUAUUUACCAUUUGUUAGAAAUUUGCACCCCCGAGCAGCCAACUAAGUAGUAUGGGCCUCUUUUUGGCAGUACCCUUUACUUGAAAAAUUCUUUGGCCUCAAUUACAAAAAGGGGGUCAACUUGUGUAAUUACUCACAGUCAGCUGCAGU